rnacentral:rRNA from 1 species
GAUCCUGGCUUAGGAUGAACGCUAGCGACAGGCUAACACAUGCAAGUCGAGGGGCAGCAUAGAAGUAGCAAUACUUUGGUGGCGACCGGCGCACGGGUGAGUAACGCGUAUGCAACCUACCUAUCAGAGGGGAAUAACCCGGCGAAAGUCGGACUAAUACCGCAUAAAACAGGGGCACCGCAUGGUGAUAUUUGUUAAAGAAAUUCGCUGAUAGAUGGGCAUGCGUUCCAUUAGGUAGUUGGUGAGGUAACGGCUCACCAAGCCGACGAUGGAUAGGGGAACUGAGAGGUUGGUCCCCCACACUGGUACUGAGACACGGACCAGACUCCUACGGGAGGCAGCAGUGAGGAAUAUUGGUCAAUGGGCGGGAGCCUGAACCAGCCAGGUCGCGUGAAGGAAGAAGGAUCUAUGGUUCGUAAACUUCUUUUGCAGGGGAAUAAAGUGCAGGACGUGUCCUGUUUUGUAUGUACCCUGAGAAUAAGGAUCGGCUAACUCCGUGCCAGCCGCGGC